rnacentral:rRNA from 1 species
UACGAAGGGUGCUAGCGUUGCUCGGAAUUACUGGGCGUAAAGGGCGCGUAGGCGGACAGUUUAGUCAGAGGUGAAAGCCCAGGGCUCAACCUUGGAACUGCCUUUGAUACUGACUGUCUUGAGUUCGGGAGAGGUGAGUGGAAUGCCGAGUGUAGAGGUGAAAUUCGUAGAUAUUCGGCGGAACACCAGUGGCGAAGGCGACUCACUGGCCCGAUACUGACGCUGAGGCGCGAAAGCGUGGGGAGCAAACAGG